rnacentral:rRNA from 1 species
GACGAACGCUGGCGGCGUGCCUAAUACAUGCAAGUCGAGCGGAAUGAUGAAGAAGCUUGCUUCUUCUGAUUUUAGCGGCGGACGGGUGAGUAACACGUGGGCAACCUACCUUGUAGAUUGGGAUAACUCCGGGAAACCGGGGCUAAUACCGAAUAAUCCAUUUUGCUUCAUGGCGAGAUGUUGAAAGACGGUUUCGGCUGUCACUACAAGAUGGGCCCGCGGCGCAUUAGCUAGUUGGUAGGGUAAUGGCCUACCAAGGCGACGAUGCGUAGCCGACCUGAGAGGGUGAUCGGCCACACUGGGACUGAGACACGGCCCAGACUCCUACGGGAGGCAGCAGUAGGGAAUCUUCCACAAUGGACGAAAGUCUGAUGGAGCAACGCCGCGUGAGUGAAGAAGGUUUUCGGACCGUAAAACUCUGUUGUAAGGGAAGAACACGUACGAGAGUAACUGCUCGUACCUUGACGGUACCUUAUUAGAAAGCCACGGCUAACUACGUG